rnacentral:lncRNA from 1 species
GGAGGGAGUAGCAAAUAAUUUAGGAAAUCACAGCACCAGUGAAAUCUCAAACAAAGAAGGCCGACAAAAUUUAAAACUGUUUAUGUCCAGUUAUUUCAUUAAGGAGGCAGUCAUAUGAACCUCAAUAAUCUAAAGAAAUGCCAUAUUUGUGGGCACAGCCGGGACAUGAUGCGUGAUCAUUAUCCGAAUCUAACCUAGCAGGCUGAGCAAGCAAAGCCGC